UACGUAGGGGGCAAGCGUUGUCCGGAUUUAUUGGGCGUAAAGAGCGUGUAGGCGGUCAGGUAGGUCCGUUGUGAAAACUCGGGGCUCAACCUCGAGACGCCGAUGGAAACCAUCUGACUAGAGUCCGGAAGAGGAGAGUGGAAUUCCUGGUGUAGCGGUGAAAUGCGCAGAUAUCAGGAAGAACACCCGUGGCUAAGGCGGCUCUCUAGUACGGUACUGACGCUGAGACGCGAAAGCGUGGGGAGCGAACAGG
rnacentral:rRNA from 1 species